AUGUCUUAAAGAAAAUAAUUUUAAGUCUAAUCUGCUCAAUGAUAUUAAUUAAAUAGCUGCAGUAUAUUGACUGUACAAAGGUAGCAUAAUCAAUAGUUUUUUAAUUGAAAGCUGGAAUGAAAGAUUUAAUAAGGUAAAUAUUGUCUCUAAAUUAAUAAUAUUAUAAUUUUUUAUUUAGUUAAAAAACUAAAAUAAAUUUAAAAGACGAGAAGACCCUAUAGAUUUUUAUAUUUAUUUAUAUUAUAAAUUUAAAUUAUUAAUAGUAUUAUUUAAAUAUUUAUUAGGUUGGGGUAAUUAUUAAAUUAGGAUAAUUUUAAUUAAAUUUAGACUAAAAUUAUAGAAUUUUUGAUUUUAAUUAAAAAUUAAAAGAAUAAAAUACCUUAGGGAUAACAGCGUAAUUUUUUUGGAGAGAUCAUAUUGAUAAAAAAGUUUGCGACCUCGAUGUUGAAUUAAGAAUAAAUAUUAAUGGAGAAAUUAAUAAAUUUGGUCUGUUCGACCAUUAAAUUCUUACGUGAUCUGA
rnacentral:rRNA from 1 species